rnacentral:lncRNA from 1 species
UAUAUAUUUGAUAUUAUAGAAGCACAACGAUCCAUCACAAAAUUCCAGCAGCAAACAGCCAAACACAGAUAAAAUCACAGGGUCGCCGUUUCGACGGCCCUGCGGUUGAGCCCAAACUUUAGCCGCAUAUAAAGUUUUCCUUCUCUUCAUCCAUUGUCAACAUGGCACACCCGUCGUUCAGACUUUAAAAAGCACAGGUAAAAUUUAAACCAGACACAGAAAGGCCGCCUCCAAAGCUUUGGAGGCAGCAGCAGGCAGGCACCGGAGACAUAUCUUUCAUUUCCUCACUAGGGCUAAAAGAUGGUAUAGGCCGAUCCAGGCUAUCUAAGGAGACGAAUCAAGCUUUUGGACUUUGUUAGCCCUUUCGUGGUUGUCAGAGUGGCGACCACCCCGCUUCCCACCACCGUGGUGCCUUCCGCCGCCACCUCUGUUGUUCUUCCAGUCCCUGGGAAGUCCACAGCAAGGGAACAACAGUGUUAUCUCAUGAACAUGUUAAGCAAAAAAGAAACACGGCAUACGGUUUGCCCUACCACUGAAAUGUUUUCAGUCUGGACCAAAGAAUUUCGUACGCGUAGGCUUAUAGAGAUUAAAAUUUUGGUGGUGGACAACAUUAUUCUAGACACAACUAUGGUUCCUUUCUUGCACAGCAUUAGGUUUUCUUCUUGAUGAAAUUUCAAUAGCUAUGAUCCAAUUUAUACCCAGUUUAUACUACAACGAGGAAAAAAUUAAACAGCAUCAACAAUCUCAAAUAUAAAAAAAUUAUAGUACCUUCCUCCCCUGUUACUUCUAUUAUUGUUAUUGAAUCUCCCUUGGCCACCCUUUAUUCCACUCCAAUAAUCUUUCUCAGCUUGUCCUGCAUUGAAAUAAUAGGUUCAUCAAAUAGAGAUUAAUCAUAACCUUCAAAUCUGCUAAAUUAUACUGACAUUUCAAUACCCAGUUUAAUUGAUAGUUUUACAGGAAAGAACGGAGCACACCGAUGAAAAUUAUUUCAGGCGUAAACCUGAACCAUCCGAAACUCACGUUUGGAUGAAAAACAAUUACUACAUGUAACAGCAAUUAUAUACAUAUUGUCACACAUAAACUACAGAACCAACAGGUACUAUAAGAAGGAAUCUACUUGCAUCGUGCCUUAAGUUACUUCAUUCAGUAAGACCCCAAAAUAAUUGAGAGAAGCUGAAGUAUUUACCAGACACAGGUUCCAAAGUGACAAGGUGGCCCUUCAUAACCAAACCACCUUCAUCCGCAAGAGCUGCAAAUGCACGGGCCUUUUCCGCGGCCGUCGAUUCCUCAAAC